AACGAACGCUGGCGGCAUGCCUAACACAUGCAAGUCGAACGAGACCUUCGGGUCUAGUGGCGCACGGGUGCGUAACGCGUGGGAACCUGCCCUUAGGUUCGGAAUAACUCCCCGAAAGGGGUGCUAAUACCGGAUAAUGUCUUCGGACCAAAGAUUUAUCGCCUUUGGAUGGGCCCGCGUUGGAUUAGCUGGUUGGUAGGGUAAAAGCCUACCAAGGCGACGAUGCAUAGCUGGUCUGAGAGGAUGAUCAGCCACACUGGGACUGAGACACGGCCCAGACUCCUACGGGAGGCAGCAGUGGGGAAUAUUGGACAAUGGGCGAAAGCCUGAUCCAGCAAUGCCGCGUGAGUGAUGAAGGCCUUAGGGUUGUAAAGCUCUUUUACCCGGGAUGAUAAUGACAGUACCGGGAGAAUAAGCUCCGGCUAACUCCGUG
rnacentral:rRNA from 1 species